UAAUGUGGCCUAACCACUGUAAAACAGUGGGAAGAAGGUCUCAGGGGAAGUGAGUGUGAGCACUACAGUUGAGCAAGCACUGGAUCUGGAUGGGGCAGCAAAGGCUUCCUAGAGGGAGGCUCUUGAGUCUUAAAGGAUGAGGAUGAAUACCAAUCAGCUAGAGGGAGGCUGGGACAAGCAUUUCAGACGUCGGAACAGAAUGUGCAAAGACAGGAAGUUCAGGUGGACACCGUCAUGAGCCAGAUUGCAGGUGGGGAUCAUUUUGAAGACGAGCUUGACCAGCACUGGCUGCCCUGAUGGCUGCAUGAAGGACUCUGCAGCUUUCUCUGCAGCCUGCGCAGGGAUCAAUUAGCAAUGUCUGUUGUAGCAACAGGAGCAGGAAGUGGUAGCGAGAGCGCUUCCUGAGAAUGAAUCUGGGGCCAGAGCAGGGACCUGGGGAACAGCAGGGUGUGAGAAUAGAGGUGGCAGCUCCAGGACCAUGAUGCACAGUGCGUUAAUUGGCUAUUGCUGUGAUAGUGCUGAUUACCAUACCACUUCUCACUCACAGGACUGAGGAUCCACUGCAGUUUGGUAGACACCGUCUGUGCUCAGCCAAGUAGCUCUCCUUGGAGCUGUAAGACACCCAGGAUUGACUCCUAGCCAUCUAACAGGUUCCAAUUUGUCUCAUAAACCUCUCAUCCUCUUUGAACCAGUGGCUGCCUGAAGCAAAUUAUGGCAAAUGGCAAGAGUGCAAUCAGAACCAAGCCACUCAAGCUUUGAGAACAUUAUAUCCUUUGCUCAGUUUCCUGUUGGGUAUUAGUCUUGAUUGAUAUAGAACUCUAUAUAUUAAGCAUAUCGCCCCUUGAUUGUAAAAUGAGUUGCACAUUU